GCAUUAAGUUGGGCACUCUAAUGAGACUGCCGGUGAUAAACCGGAGGAAGGUGGGGAUGACGUCAAGUCAUCAUGCCCCUUAUGACCUGGGCUACACACGUGCUACAAUGGACAGUACAACGAGAAGCGAGCCUGCGAAGGCAAGCGAAUCUCUGAAAGCUGUUCUCAGUUCGGACUGCAGUCUGCAACUCGACUGCACGAAGCUGGAAUCGCUAGUAAU
rnacentral:rRNA from 1 species